AUUAGAUGAUCUUCGGUCUUAUAUUUUAUAUUUUGUCAGCGAGGGGAAAAUGCAACUUCUGAAAUAACAUUAUUGACAAAACAUUUUGGUUAUUUGUCACCAUUGCACAGCUUUAACUUCAGUUUCCAGGAUGUCUCCAGCUUUAUACACAUGUGGAAUUUUACUGCUCGUGCUCACAGGAAAAGUGUCGAGUGCUGAAGUUAAACAGCCCUCUUCUAAAGUUGUGGUGGAAGGGACGAAGGAGCUCAACAUUACCUGCAGUCAUGAUGUCGGCAACCUUCUUGUGAUGCUGUGGUACCAACACCAACAGAGCAGUCAGACUAUGAGUUUCAUUGGGUACUCAUACCCCGUGGGUGACCCGAGCUACGAGGACCAGUUUAAGGAGUCCAGAUUCCAGAUUAAAAGAGAAGACAGACUGAAAGGAUCUCUGAUCAUUCAUGAAGUGAAAGCAUCAGACUCAGCUGUGUAUUUCUGCGCUGCCAGCACACAGUGAUGUGGUUUAAUAGCACCGCUUGUCUAAAAACCUCCUG